rnacentral:tRNA from 1 species
GCCUCGUUGGCUCCGUUGGUAGAGCAUGCAACUCUUGAUCUCAGGGUCGUGAGUUUGAGCCCCACAUUGGGCA